UCCAGACUCCUACGGGAGGCAGCAGUGGGGGAUAUUGCACAAUGGGGGGAACCCUGAUGCAGCGACGCCGCGUGGGUGAAGGAGCGUUUCGGCGCGUAAAGCCCUAUCGGCAGGGAAGAAGGAGGACGGUACCUGACUAAGAAGCCCCGGCUAACUACGUGCCAGCAGCCGCGGUAAUACGUAGGGGGCAAGCGUUAUCCGGAUUUACUGGGUGUAAAGGGGGCGCAGACGGCAGCGCAAGCCAGGAGUGAAAGCCCGGGGCCCAACCCCGGGACUGCUCUUGGAACUGCGCGGCUGGAGUGCAGGAGGGGCAGGCGGAAUUCCUGGUGUAGCGGUGAAAUGCGUAGAUAUCAGGAGGAACACCGGUGGCGAAGGCGGCCUGCUGGACUGCGACUGACGUUGAGGCCCGAAAGCGUGGGGAGCAAACAGGAUUAGAUACCCUAGUAAUG
rnacentral:rRNA from 1 species